rnacentral:siRNA from 1 species
CGGCCCAACCCGAAUUUGCGAAAA